UGCCUAAUAGUUAAAUUUAUAACGGUAGAUUGCAAACCUAAUGUUGCUUAGAGGCUUAGGCUU
rnacentral:tRNA from 1 species